rnacentral:rRNA from 1 species
CAAAACUUUCAACAACGGAUCUCUUGGCUCUGGCAUCGAUGAAGAACGCAGCGAAACGCGAUAAGUAAUGUGAAUUGCAGAAUCCAGUGAAUCAUCGAAUCUUUGAACGCACAUUGCGCCCGCCAGCAUUCUGGCGGGCAUGCCUGUUCGAGCGUCAU